ACUUAACUGUGACAUACAUAGCAGAGUCCCAGAAGAAAGAACUGACUACUAACAAAUUGAAACAAGUACCCUUCAGGGGACCGUGGAUAUAACCUGACUCCUUCAGUGACAAAAAUCAAGGCUGAAACUUUCAAAAAAAAAAAAAAAAAUCAGAUCUAGAAUACCCCGCAAGUAAUUUCUUCCCAUUUUCCUAGUUUUGCUGCCAUGUUAACAUAAAAUCUGGAUCCAGCUUGUCCUGUUCCUUCUUCCUUUGGGAUUCAUCCCGAAGUGAGUCUCGCUCCAGUUUUCGGGCAUUAAGGACAUCUUCCACAUUGGUGUUUCGGAACAGAACUACAGAAACAGCUCCAAAUAAUGAUGGACUGAUCAAGAAGCUGGUACCAAGAAGUCUCGAAGUUAUUUCAACAGCUUCAUGGAGUGUUUGGAAACUUCCCAGCUGUAAAUAAAAACUACCUUAAA
rnacentral:sRNA from 1 species